GGCGUGUGUUUUAUAGUGCAAGGAAGCCAUGGGUAAGGAGGCGGUCAAAGGAACCAAUCAGGCCUGUCCUGCCUUGCCCUACCCAGUCUGCACCAAGCUCUUCACAAGUUGGCUUGGACUGAUGGAGAUGUGAUACUGAAGUUGAGAGAUGGGAAGCUUGUUGCUGCUUUGAUGCCGCAUACCGGUGGUGUUUCUGCCGCCGCUGUGCAAGGACGAAGAUUCCUGCUGCUGCUGCUGCUGCUGCUGCCCCCAAAGAGCAGUCCUGCACCACUAUUGCUGCUACUGCUGCCUCUGCCGCGAUCACCUGGAGUCGUGCAUCGCUCUACGCCACUGCUGCUGAGGGUGUGGAUGGCUGCCUUCAAAAUAUAAGAUGUACUGGUCAUCAUUAGCAGUGUUCUUGCUAAGGACUGAGCCAUAAUUAAGAGUUCGGAAGACUCCCCAAUUGAUUGUUGUUGAUUUUUAGUUUUUUUUUUAUAAAAAAAUUACACAGC
rnacentral:misc_RNA from 1 species